rnacentral:rRNA from 1 species
GACGAACGCUGGCGGCGUGAUUAACACAUGCAAGUCGAACGAGUGGCGAACGGGUGAGUAAUACGUGAGUAACCUGCCCUCUUUUUGGGAUAAGCCUUGGAAACGGGGUCUAAUACCGGAUAAAGGGGGAUGGGCUCGCGGCCUAUCAGCUUGUUGGUGGGGUGAUGGCCUACCAAGGCGGUGACGGGUAGCCGGCCUGAGAGGGUUACCGGACACAUUGGGACGGAGAUACGGCCCAGACUACUACGGGAGGAAGCAGUGGGGGAUAUUGCAGAAUGGGCGAAAGCCUGAUGCAGCGACGCCGCGUGGGGGAUGAAGGCUGUCGGGUUGUAAACCUAUUGCGCUAUCGAACGGGAAGGUGGAGAAGAAGCGCCGGCUAACUACGUGCCAGCAGCCGAGGUAAUAC